rnacentral:rRNA from 1 species
AUACGGAGGGAGCGAGCGUUAAUCGGAAUUACUGGGCGUAAAGCGCGCGUAGGCGGCUUUGUAAGUCGGAUGUGAAAUCCCACGGCUCAACCGUGGAACUGCGUUCGAUACUGCGUGGCUGGAGGCUGGUAGGGGAGAGUGGAAUUCCUGGUGGAGCGGUGAAAUGCGUUGAUAUCAGGAGGAACGCCGGUGGCGAAAGCGGCUCUCUGGUCCAGUUCUGACGCUGAGGCGCGAAAGCCAGGGGAGCAAACGGGAUUAGAUACCCCGGUAGUCC